UAUAUAAAUAUACACACACACACAAGUAUAUACACACAGCAAUCAGUUAUUUGAACAACAGCUUCCUAUUCUAUUUUUCUGUAAAUUUGAAACAUUUCACACAAAAAAGUAAAUGGAUAUAUUUUACUUAAAAGGGAGGGGGGCUUCAUAUAUACAUCUCAAGUUCAAGAAGUCCUGUGUUAAAAGGAAAAUUGUUGUAAUGGGACCCUGAAGACUUAAGCACACUGUCUCCUGUGUCCCAGGCAAGUCUCACAAGGGCCUCGGUUUUUUUCUCAUCUGUACAAUGAUUGAGGUAGAUGAUAUCUAAGGGCCUUGUGCCUCCAAUAUUUUAUGACUCCACAGAGAAGAAUUACAAUUCUUUUUUUUUUUAUGUUUUUUCAUGUUUUUUAAAGUUAUUUUUGAAGGAGAGAGACAGAGCAUGAGUGGGGGAGGAGCAGAGAGAGAGGGACACACAGAAUCUGUAGCAGGCUCCAGGCUCUGAGCUGUCAGCACAGAGCCCGAUGCAGGGCUUGAACCCACAAACUGUGAGAUCAUGGCCUGGGUCAAAGUCGGACGCUUAACUGACUGAGCCACCCAGGCGCCCCGAGAAGAAUUAUAAUUCUUAAUGGGCUUGUUCACUAGUAUCCAAUAAACAUACACUAAAUCUUGAUCCCUAUUUUCAUCUCAUCAAUACCCCAUCCAAACUCGAAACUAAAAUGGCACAUCCCUCCAGAGAUACUGUAGGACAAAAAUCGGGAAAGCCGGCCUCCUUGGGUCUUUAAAAUGUACAUCAAACAAUCCUUACAAAGUAUUUCAAACCACUCUCUUAAUUUAAAGAGCUUAUACUUGCCUUCAGAGUUUUGCUAUUGAGAAAACCGAAUCCUGAGAACUGUGGGCCGUGUGUGACAGAAGACGCGAGGAAGAGAACCCUCGCUUCCAGGCAGGAUGGGGUGUGCGGGGGCUACACAAGCAGGGGACCAAGCCUGGAGGGUCUCCCAUGCUCUUCUCAGGAGCAGAACUUGUUCCAUAGGCCCAUUAUUUUCUACCUUGUUUCCACACAUGCAGGGUGGGUAACUCACACACGCAGGCAAACAACCAUCUCUCAGGUUGGGCUGCCACAGCGAUGGGAGUGGCUGGGGGGGUGGGUACGGACACCCAUCACUCCUCCUCUCCUUUCCCAGAUCCAGCCCCUGCAGAGGUGGUGGUCCCGAGCCUCUGCUGUAGGCUACAGGAAGCAGCUGAAGGAUUUUGAGCAGGACGUGACAUGGCAUGUUUUACUUUGGACAGAUCUCACUGGUGGUUGUGUGGAAAGGAUGGAUUCGAGAUGAAUAAGACAGAAGCAAAAACCAUGAGAUUUCUCCAGGGGGAAGGGUAAAAUGAUGGAAGGAAGCAGAGACAGCCAAGGAGAGACCCCCUCCGAGAAAGACAGUCAAAAUAAGAAUGUCCCCAGUGGUAGAGAGCGAACCAGAAAAGUGCAAUAUGCGAAAAGCCCAGGGAAGAGGACAGUGCGUACAAUAUGGUCUCAAUCAUCUUGGAAUGGAGACAAAAGGUCGUCACAUGCCCAAUAAAUCUCUCUGGAAAAAUUUAGGACAGUCCUUUUUGCACUCCCUGGUCAGAUGAAAUGAAGAGUUACCAUCCACGUUCCAGCUCUCCAUGUGCUUUCACCUCCCUUCCCUAGGAAACCUCAAUUCUUUCAACCUUCUCUUGAAGGUUGUAUUUUCAUUCUCUACUCUAAUUUCCAUUGCCUUCUCAGGAAACCUGCCAACUGUUUCCACAUCUUGGUUACGUUGCCAAGCUCAGAGAUGAAGAGGAUUCUAAUAGGAAUUUGACAAACGUCGAGUAUAAUAUACAGAAGGUUAACUUUUGGUCCGUACAAGUUAAGCUCCUAUCAUACAUUCUAGUCCCGUAUUUACUCUGGAAAUGGAUGUACUGCAUUCAGGAUCACCCUUUAUUUUAUGGUCCCUUUCAAACUUUGUCUGCCAUAAGAUGUCAAAAGCAGAAUGCCUACAAGAUUCAUCCAAGUUCUCAUGUGCAGACGUCCACAAUUCAUUCCUAUUUACUGCAGACAAGUAUUCCACUGUGUGGAUGAACUACAAUUUGUUUCCAGCAGACUCCUUCCAGAGACUUUUUCUAACACGGCCAUAUAAUAUCCCACUGUGUAACGACACACCAGCCCUCCACUGAUGGGCAUUCGGUUGUUUCAGACUUUUUGCUGUUACAAGUAUCUCUGCAGUGAAGAGC